CUACUGUUGGAGUUGAUUUUCCAUCUUAUUAUUGUUUCCCCUAUUUUCUUGGUUUGACACUAUUGUUGGGGUUGAUUUUCCAUCUUAUUAUUGUUUCCCAUAUUUUCUUCUCAGUUGUGUCUUAUUUAAGUACAAGAAUAAGAAUUUUCUUGGCGGUCGAUACUUUUCUUUUGAUGACAUGUAUUUUCUUGUCAAUUGUGUUUUAUUUAAGUACAAGAUUAAGAAUUUUCUUGGCGUUUGAUACUUUUCUUUUGAUGGCAUGUCUUGCUACAGUUGGCAUUUUUAGGAACACCAAUUUGAAACAAGAAAUAGAGUAA